CCUGCAGCAUCCGCAAGCAGCUGAUGGAGCGGUACCCACAACAUUGCAUCAGCCGCCGCCGGAGGUCCACCUCCGCCGCCGAUGCCGCCGCCGACCACCGCGGGCACGCUCCCGAACAGGGCACUCCACGCCCGGCUCCUCCGCUCCGGCGCGCUCGACGCCGACCCGUCAGCCGCCGCCCCGCUCGCCGCGUCGGCCGCCAACUCCUCCCUCCCCUACGCGCUCUCCCUCCUCCGAGCCCACCCCUCCACCUUCUCCUACAACACCGCCAUCCGCUCCCUCGCGCACGGCCCCCGCCCGCACCUCGCCGUCGCCCUCUACCGCUCCAUGCUCCUCGGCCCCCUCUCCAACCCCAACAACUACACCUACCCGCCGCUCCUCGCCGCCUGCGCCCGCCUCCUCCCCGCGAGCUCACCAACCCCGGCGGCCGCGCCGGGCACCGCCGUCCACGCCUCCCUCUUCCGCCGCGGCCUGGAUUCCCGCGACCGGUUCAUCGGCGCGUCGCUCCUCUCCUUCUAUGCGGCCGCCGGGGACCUGCCCGCCGCACGCCAGGUGUUCGACGCAAGUCCCCCCGGCCAAAGGGACCUGCCUCUCUGGAACUCGCUCCUCCACGCCCACCUCUCGCAGGGCUUCUACGCCCACGUGCUGCGCCUCUCGCGGCAGAUGCCCGCCGCCGACGAGGUCACGCUGCUCGCCCUCGUCUCCGCCUGCUCGCAUCUCGGCGCGCUCGACACAGGCCGCUGGGCGCAUGCUUCCUAUGCAAGGACCCGCCGGAGCACCACCAGGAAUCUGGGCACCGCUCUGCUCAACAUGUACAUGAGGUGCGGAGAUGUCGAGAGCGCGUGGUCCGUGUUCCGGGAGACGCUCGACAAGGAUGUCCGGACGUGGAGCGUCAUGAUCGCCGGACUGGCCACCAACGGUCUCCCCAGGGACGCGCUGGCCUUGUUCGCUGAGAUGAAGAACACAGGUGUGGACCCAGAUUCCAUCACCAUGACCGCUGUGCUGAGUGCGUGCGCCCAUGCUGGCAUGGUGGAUGAGGGCAAGAAGUUCCUGGACUGUAUGCCGGUUGAAUAUCGUGUACAGCCCACCAUAGAGCAUUAUGGCUGCGUCGUCGAUCUGCUUGGUCGAGCAGGGCAGCUAGAUGAGGCAUUGGCUCUCAUUAAGACUGUCCCGUUCAAGGCUGAUGUUGUGCUAUGGGGUGCUCUCUUGGUCGCAUGUAGGGUUCACAAGAAUGUCGACAUGGGGGAGAUGGCUGCCAUGGAGAUACUCAAGUUGGAUCCCCAGCAUGCCGGGGCAUGUGUGUUCUUAUCUAAUGUCUAUGCUGAUGCUGGGAAAUGGGACCUUGUACAAGGGGUAAGGAGCUCGAUGAAAGAACACAAGAUAUACAAGCCUCCAGGAUCCAGCAUUGUUGAGCUGAAUGGUGUGGUUUACGAGUUCUUGUCCGGGGACCGUUCACAUCCUCAGUCUGAUCGAAUAUAUGCAAUGCUUGAUGAGAUUUGCAAGACCUUAAGCCUCAAGGGACACAAGCCUUCAACUAAAGAAGUUACCUUCGACGUUGAUGAGGAGGACAAAGAAGUUUGCAUUUCGCAGCACAGCGAGAAACUCGCGCUUGCCUUGGGACUCAUAAGCACGACAAGAGGGGAUGUCAUCCGUAUAGUGAAGAACCUGAGAAUCUGUGAGGAUUGUCACUCUGUCAUGAAGAUAGUCUCAGAGGUCUACGAUCGAGUCAUAGUUGUCAGAGACCGAAACCGGUUCCACCACUUCAAGAACGGCUCCUGUUCCUGCUUGGACUAUUGGUAGGACAAAAUCAGAAUGAUGGCAUGAUCAUGUACUUCAAGACAAGUGUCUCAGCCGCUGGUUGACAUGAUUUAUACGUCACUGCGGAGUGCGGACUAAUUGAGCAAGAAGCUUGCCAAAAUUCUGACCCCAGUGGCACAAACUGUUCACCUAACGUCAAGAUCGGGGGUACUGUGGAGGGUUGUUGUGGGGCGGCGAAGGAGAUGUGUGCUCAAGCAGAGGCCUUUCUUAGACGGUGCGUGAUGACACGUUGGUGAAGCCAGAGGUGGCCGGAGGGAUCCAACAUGGGGGUCUUCUACGGUGGCCCGGCUUGGUUGGAUCGUCGGAGAAAAGGACGUCAGUACACGAUUUUGUACGGCCCGAGCUCACAUCAGAUCCAAAACUGGCAUACAUCGGUAUGUUUUUGUUUUCAUGUUUUCUUUAUAGAGUCCUUGUCUUUUGUUUGUUGUGGUGAAGCGGUGGCAUUGCUCCAGGGUAGGCAUAAUGUUCUCCUCGCCCUAUCCCCAUUUCUUUCAUGUUUUUUUGGUGGCUGAGGGUGCGUGGAGCUGUGUCUUCGGCAGGUCUUUCAGGAUCCGAUCCGUUUAGAUUUCCGGUGGAUCCUUCUGCAGUCAACCGUCUGUCAUGAUCUUUGUCGCAAAUCACAACCGCCGGCAUCUCCUGAUCUGCAUCAACAAUUUUCUAGCCGUUGCUUUUACAAGCUCUUGAGUUUUAAAAAGUUUUCUCUACGAAGAGAAAGCCUAGAGGAGGCAUCAAGCUAUGCUCACAGCUCACCACCAGUGGAUGCAGGAACAAGAAGACUUCAACACCCCAAUAUUUUUGAAUGUUCUUCUACUUUUUAAGGUCCCGUGACACUUAAUAUAUGGCCUUAGGCCUUUUUGAAGAAAAAAACUUCCUAGUCACAUGUAGUACUAGUGCGCUAGAAAUGCUAUAUAGCAUUGUUAUGCAGUACUUGUGUACAUAGUUAUGGUGGCUAAAUUUAAACAUAAUGAGAGUGCUC